CAAUUCUAUGGAACACCCACCUCGACGGCGACUAGCACUGGCGCGACGUCAAGAACGGCGAAGAUCCACGCUCGCCCGGCCUCCUCACGAUGCAACGGCAGCAACCGUAGGUUCGAACGGCUCUGCGGUGCGACGUCGACGGCGAAAUCGGCUCCGCGGCGGCGUCCCUCGCGUGCUUCCUUGGUACGGCCGAACGAAAGAGAAAAGGAGAGAAGAGAGGAGAUAAACUCCUCUCUCUCUCUUCCCUGCAUGCAUAAAAGAGGGGGGGAGGUGAUGCCACAUGGCAUUACACAUACUCACACAUGUGCACUCACACACACACACACACGUACCCUCACACACACACUUAUAUAUAUAUACUAAGUGUAGGGAUACUAGUAUACUACAUCCUCCCCCACUACAAAAAGUUUCGUCCGCGAAACUGAACGUACCUCUACUCAAGCAUCAAACAAGUAGGGAUAGGCUUCCCUCAUCACCGUCUCAGACUCCCAAGUCGCCUCCCGCUCAUCAUGAUUACUCCACUGCACUUUCACAUACGGGAUGACCCGGUUGCGCAAUUCUUUCGUCUCCCGAGCAAGAAUCCGCAACGGUCGCUCCUCGUAUCUCAGAUCCUCGCCAAUCUCAAGUGGAGUGAAGUCAAUCACGUGAGAGGGAUCGAAGACGUACCUCCUCAAUGCUGAGACGUGGAAAACAUCAUGGAUGCCGGCAAGUCGCGGGGGAAGAGCUAUCCUGUAAGCCACCGGUCCGAUACGCUCCAAUACCUCGAAAGGGCCAACAAACCGUGGACUAAGCUUUCCACGUACUCCAAAUCUGCGUAUCCCUCGGGACGGCGAGACUUUGAGGAAAACAUGAUCUCCAAUCUGAAACUCCAAGUCUCGUCUCCUGGUAUCGGCGUAGCUCCUCUGUCGGCUCUGUGCUGUCAAAAGGUGUCGUCGAACGACUCUCACCUUUUCCUCAGCCUCAAGUAGAAUCUCCGGCUCAAGUGUCCUCCGCUCACCCACAUCACUUCAAAACAGGGGGGAUCGACAUCUGCGUCCAUACAACGCCUCANCCGAACGAAAGAGAAAAGGAGAGAAGAGAGGAGAUAAACUCCUCUCUCUCUCUUCCCUACAUGCAUAAAAGAGGGGGGAAGGUGAUGCCACAUGGCAUUACACAUACUCACACAUGUGCACUCACACACACACACACACGUACCCUCACACACACACUUAUAUAUAUAUACUAAGUGUAGGGAUACUAGUAUACUACA
rnacentral:lncRNA from 1 species